AUAAAUUACAUUUGACGAGUGCUAAGAGACCAUUGGUGUUAUAUAAUACACCCUGAAUUAUAAAAAUCCUUCUUUCUAUGUAAUAAGAAUAGUCCAAAGAGGUAGGAACUCCAGCAAAGUCACUAUCUCUUAUAUUCACACUAGAAUAUGUUGCAGAGGGUUUCUUGUCUUUAUUGAUAGAGAAAUUAAUCAAAGUGUAAUUUCAAAUCCUGUAACAGCAAUAGUUUUGAUUAUUCAUCUGCAGUAAUUUAUAUUGGUUGUAUAAUUGAGGUGUAGUAAUCAUUAUCAGUGAACUGAAAAAAAAAAAAACCCCAAAACAAACUUGGAACCUUGCUUCAUAGUAAUACUAUAGAAUCAAUUCAUUUAAUGUCUGUGUCACUUUCAUUAUCACCACUUUACAUCUGCUUUCCAAGUAUUUAUCCAUAAUAAUAAAUGGCUUCGAUCUUUAAUCAUAGGUAUUAUAUUUUCAAGCAUCUGCAUUCUCAUUCUACAUAUAUCUACUAUCGAGGAUUAAUUAAUCUAAUUGGAAGGUUUUCUAUUAAAGGUAUAUAUUAUAGUCUUCUUUUGUAAAGUAAGAAUGUCUGUGGGUAAGAGAUUCAGUUCUAUUAAGUAUGCUUAAAUUAGAAGUUAUUUAGGCCUGUUAUUGAUUUCAGAAAGACUAUUCCAAUUACAUAUGGCAUUCAAUGUACAGUAUAUGCUUGUGUGUGUGUGUGUGUGUGUGUGUGUGUGUGUGUGUGUGUGUGUGUGUGUGUAUUGAGCAUUUCACUGAAGACUGGUCUUCAUUCAAUGAAGAUUGUCAGAUAUAAUAUUGUAUGUGUGUGUGUGGAUAUGUAAAGAUUUCAUAAGUUAUUCAAGUUUUUGUAAUAUCCUCCUUUCUGUCUCCAUCACUAAUUCUAUAGUUCCAUUCCAAGAUCUAUUCCAAGAGUCUGGUAAAAAGUACUCAAAGCUCGUAGCUUUACCUGUGAUGUGAAGAUAUUUCAAAUAUAAUUGUUUUCUAAAUCCAUUUUUUACUGUAAAUGUAGAGAGAAGUCAUAAUCCCAACCAUUUCUAAAGAAUAUUACAUAUUUUGGAAAUACAAAAAAUAUCCAGAAAAAUAUUUCUAUUUUGCUAAAAAUAAUAACAAAUAAAUGGAGCUAAAAAAAAUUUGAAACAAAAAUUAUAUAAAUAUAUAUAUUUUUCUUUAUGGAUCUUAUUUAUAAUGUGCUUUUUAUUAGGCAAAAGAAAAACAAUGAAAAAAUUGAAUAACCAAAAAAAUAUUUUAAUUUCUAUUAUUAUUAUUAUGAGUUGCACUAUUACUAUUGUUUUGAGGGUAGUGGAAUGGCAGAAUAAUUUGAAUAUGAGUAAAAGGUAUUAGAUAUUUUAUUACAACCCUCAUUAUUUUGAUUUCAGAUCCUUUGUGGUUGGCUUUCAUCGUCUCAGGGUUGAUAAAAUAAAGUACCUAUAUAGUGCUGUUUGAUAUAAUUGACUAUUAUCCCCGCCAAAAUUUUCAGGCCUUGUAUCUACAUUAGAAACACAUAAAGGAUAAUUGAUUGGCAAAAUCAUCAAAGAAUCAGAAAAAAAUGUCCUGUGGUAUUGCCUUUCGUUCCUUCAUGGCUAAUAAUAUAAAUCACCAGUCGAGUACUGGGAUGAAUACAAUUAGAUAACACCAAUCCCCUCGAUUUUGUGGCCCUGAGCCAAAACUAGAUACAAUUCUUUCAAGAUGGUGGAUUCACAGGAUUGUUUGAGCAUUAGGCAAAAUGCUGAGCAGUAUUUAUUAUGGUGCAUUUUAUUUCUGAGUCAACAUUUUUCUCAGCUCAACGUCUGCUUUUCAUCCUUCUCGGGUUGAUAAAUUAUAGUCCCAAUCAAGUACUAGGGUUGAUUUAAUCACCUGUCUUACUCACCUGAAAAUUUCUGACCGAACCUAAAUUAGUAACAAUUAUUUUUGUUGUUAUUGUUGUCAUUUCAAUUAAGUAAUAAAAAUAAUGAUGAUAAUAAUAAUAAUGAUGAUGAUGUACAUAAUACACAUUUUGAGAAUAAAAUUUGAAAUUUGUUUUGAAGUUGGAUGGAAUGACAAAAUUUGAUGGAGUGUUGGGAAAAAUGCCAUACGGUCUUAAGUGAUUACACAUUAUGUUCUGAGUUCAAAUUGUGCCAAGAUCAAUUUUGCUUUCCCACCUUUUACAUGAGAUAAAAUAAAUUUGUAAACAAGUACUCAUGUUGAUUUAAUCAACCAAACUCUUUUCUUGUGCUUCUUGCUGUGCCAAGCAAAGAGGCUUUCUGUAGAAUAAGGAAAUACAUUUUGAUAUCCAUCAUCUGUAUCCUAUCAUUAAAGACUUUUGUAAUUGUUAUGAUAUUGUUAUUAUUAUUAUUAUUAUUAUUAUUAUUAUUAUUAUCAUUACUAUUAUUAUUACUAUUAUUAUAAUCAUUAAUAUUACUUUUAUUAUAAUCAUUAUUAUUAUUAUUGUUAUUAUUAUUAAUAUUAAUAUUACUAUUAUUAUAAUCAUUAUUAUUAUUAUUAUCAUUAUCAUUACUAUUAUAAUCAUUAUUAUUAUUAUUAUCAUUAUCAAUACUAUUAUUAUAAUCAUUAUUAUUAUUAUCAUUACUAUUAUUAUAAUCAUUAUUAUUAUAAUCAUUAUUAUUAUUAUUAUCAUUAUCAUUACUAUUAUUAUAAUCAUUAUUACUAUUAUUAUAAUCAUUAUUAUUAUUAUUAUUAUUAUAAUUAUUAUUAUUAUAAUUAUUAUUAUUAUUAUUAUUAUUAUUAUUAUUAUAAUCCUUAUUAUUAUUAUAAUUAUAACAAUUAAGUUGACAAUCUUUCAGAAUUGUUUUCAUGCCAGACAAAAUGUAUUGUGGCAUUUUGUCCAUCUUUCCAUUCUGAGUACAUAUGCUGCUGAGAUUGGCCUUGUCAUUCACCAUUUUCUCAUACUUUUCCCCCACCCCCAAAUUGCUGGCCUUGUGCCAAAAUAUAAAACCAUUACUAUUAUUAUCAUUAUAAUAAACAUUGUGAGUCGGAAAUGGCUACAACAUGUCAACAAUUGUAGUGCAUUGAACUGAAUUGUAUGCUUUUUUUUUUACUUUACACACAUACACACACAUUACUUUAGUGAGUCUUCACUUGUACACACUCAAAAACAAAAAAAAAGCAAAACAUAAAACCAACAAUUUACUGAAAUAUAACUCAUAUGGUUACAUCACUUCCCUUCAAGUUUCAUUUGUGUUUGUCUAUGUAUAAUGUCAUUAUAAUUAUAAAUAUUUUGAUAAAUCAACUUCCUAAUCUUUUGUAAUAUAAUCCUCCCCACUGAAACCAAUGUUGAAAAUAUAAGAAAUUCUAGCAAAAUAUUAAUUGUUAGAAUGCUUGUAAUUUGAAAUUCUGUCGCAAAUUUAACAGAUCAAAAGAUAAAUUUUUGAGAGGGCAAGGCUUUAUGCUGGUUUCAGUAAACACCUGAAAGUAAUUAAUUUUAGUUUAACUGCCAAUACUUUUGAAACUAGUAUAUCCCUCUUGAAAUAUUUUAAUUUUACUGUAUACUUUUGUGAUUAUCUUAGAAAAAAAAGUCACUAUUCAAAUAACAAUCAUUUUCAUCUAAUAAAUAAUACUUUUUAAACUGUCUAAAUACCGUCUAUUUCCUGGGUAUAUUCAUUUCACUUGACCCUUGUACAUGACUGGUAUAUUCUGAUUUUAUCAACUCUGAAAUGGAUGAGAGGCAGAAUUUGAUCACAGAAAGAUAUGCAAAAUUUAAAUAAUGUCUCUCAUUUGCUAUAUGCAUUCUCAAAUUUCUUGCACUUUGCUAAUUGACUUAAUUAAAUAGCUGAUUCAAGUAAUUCAUACAGUUUGAGCAUAUGCUUUAUAUUCAAUUACUUAAUUAGUGCUAACAUAGUAUAUAUAAAACCAUAUUAUGUAUUAAUUCAUAAGCAAAAUGUUCCACAAAGCUUUCAUCAAUUACUGCUUACUCACCAGCCACAUUCUUAUAUUAUAACAAUUAAUAUUUUGAUUAAAGGCAUAACUUUCUAAGAAGUCUGCUUUUCAACCAUGUGGUUUAGAGUUUGAUCCCGCUACCCUACAACUUUGGUUUCUUCUACCAUUACCAUGAACUAGCCAAUGCUUUGUGAAUGUAAUUUGGCAGAUGGAAACAGCAGAAGCUUGUAAUAUAUGAUAUAACAAUAUCCUUCAUUGGACACUAAACUCUGCUUGCGAAGACCUGUUGAGGCAAGUGAAAUCGAAAUCAAAUUCGAUGACUGGCAUCCGUGCUAGUGGAGUGCUAAGAGUACCAUAUAAGUGAGAUCGUUGCCAGAGCAACAAGCUGGCCUCCGUGCCAAUGGCAUGUUAAAAACACCAUUUGAGCAUGACCGUUACCUGUGUCACCUUACUAGCACUUGUGCUGGUGGCACAUGAAAAAAUAUUUGAGCGAGGUCGUUGCCAGUACCGCCUGACUGGCCCUCGUUCCAGUGGCAUGUAAAAGCACCCACUACACUCUCAGAGUGGUUGGUGUUGGGAAGAGCAUACAGCUGUAGAAAACCUGCCAGAUCAGAUUGGAGCCUAGUACAGCCAUCUGGUUUGCCAGCCCUCAGUCAAAUCGUCCAACCCGUGCUAGCAUGGAAAGCAGACGUUAAACAAUGAUGAUGAUCAUCCUCCUCAUGAACAAUGUGCUAGUCUUGGUGUCAUAGAAUAAAAGCACCUAGUACAGUCUGUAAAGUGACUGGAGACAGGAAACGCAUCCAACCAUAAAAACCAAACCAAAAAUGAAAGAUGACUGACAUGCAAUCUUCCAACAUAUUUAAGUGUACUGUAUCCUUAUAUAUACACUAACCAUAACAAUGACAGCAAUCCAACAGAGAGCCUGUUUCCUAAGGGAGCAGAUGUAAAACAAUGAAGGUGAUGGUGUUAUACUGCUAUUUUAUCCUGGCAAACACAGAGAACUGAAUUAGCAGUUUUUGAACAAAAGCCAUUGUGGUAUUUGCUCUGUAUCAAAUUACAGACUCUUCAUAGUCACUCUCACUGUCAGAAAUACAGCAAGUCAGUGAUUAAUCUA
rnacentral:lncRNA from 1 species